UCUGAAGCCCUAAUCCCUCACUCGCUCAUUUUGUAGCCCUAAUCUUUUACUCACUCACUCUCUCGUUCGCUCUCUCUCUGAACCCUCUCAAUGGAUCGAUUCAUCUCAAUGGAUCAAUUCAUCUCAGAAUGAUACAAUCUCGGUGAUUCAUCUUGGCUAUUUUGAUUUUGAUUUCGAUGUUUAUCUUAUUUGGAAUCCUCACGGCUUCAAAUCUCGCCUCUCUCAACCCUCUCUAAGCCCUUAUCAUUCUCACAUAUUCAUCUUUGAGAUUCAAAGCAAUUUCGAUUUCGAAUCUCCACCACCAGCACCGUCUGCACCGGCUCGAUUUCUCUGAUUUCGAUUUCGAUUUCGAAGCUCCACCGCCACCACCAUCUGCACCAGUGAGAUCCAGAUGAUCCACUGAAGACUACUGAUCAGACCAGGCAUCUUGGCUUAAUCGUAUGUUCUCUGUAGUCAUUAAAAUUUGAACAUAAAAUUUGCAAUGGAGUUCUUAUCUUUAAUGUACUGCAAAGAUUUUUAAUUUUUGUGGAAAAUCCUCUUUAUGGAAUUUUUAAAAAAAAUCUGAAUUGGAAAAUUCUUGCAUUUUUGUUUUGAUUAAGUUUUAAUUGGGGUAAAGAACUGGAGUAUUUAGACUAACUGAAACCAUGAAAUACCGUAGCCAGGACAUAGAUAACAAGUUUUUAUAUGUAGUAGGCUCCUUUUAUAAAAGUUCCGUAGCUUGGUAUGUUCAACAAGAAAUUUGGUUUCAUAAAUGAAGCUUUGCAUUGUUUCUUUUUGUUUUUUUGUUUUUAAAAUUUUUUUUUUAUUAAGCAGGCAACAAGUUUUGCUGCAUCUUUGGGAGAGCAUCAAAUUAUGCAUGAGUCUUUAGGUUUUGAUACUGCAAAUUCUCUUUUCUCAGCACUUAAAUGGGAAACAAGGGUUAUCAUAGGCUUCGUAUUUGUUGGAGUUUUUGAAAACAGUUUUCUGUUCUAGGAGUCACGUAAAACAAAAAAUAGAAUUGAAAAUUUGUUAAGUUCAUUGUUCUCAGGAGCUAUUUUCAGGAAAAAAAAAAAGGAGUUAAAAAAGAACCAGUUUUCAGAGAAACACCAGAAUUCUGUUCUGUUUUUUUUUUUUAUACGAGUUUCUUUUUGUAAUUCAAUCUACAGUGCAUAGAAUGCCCUUGAUUUGAGUCUAAAUUUCUGCCCCUCACCCUUUGUUCUUCUUGAUGAGAUAUUUGAGGACAAUGAUAGGAAAAAUAGAGUUUGAAUGCUACAUUCUUUCCACACAAAAAAAGAAAAAAAGAAAAAAUAAAUAAAAAGAAGAAGAUUAUUUGGCGAUCUAUCCUAUAACAACUUAAGCUCAUCAGUUGAUUCAGUCGAUUCAUUUUGCCGAAGCCGACAAACUAAAUUGUAAGAAUGCUUCUUUCCUACUUAAUAACUACUACCAUAAUCUCUCAAAAAAUUUCUGUGUAUCCAGCUCAACUUUUCACUCUCUAUUUUCUACAGGAACUUGUUUGGAAGCUCUUCAGAGGACAAUGCUUCGUAAAUUUCUAAAACUUUCAUAAUAUUUUUUUGUUGUUUUCAUAAAUUAUUUGGGCACUGUUUCAGUUUAUUUCUUUCUUAUCUAACCUAAAUUCUAAUAUAAUAUGUUGCUGACUGGUUCAUGAUCUCAUGUUGUUCUGUCAGUGAAAUUCUUGCUUACCGUGGUUGUGUACGAAGUAAGUAGAAAUAUUAUUUAUUGUGUUGAUAAUUUGAGAGUUAUCAUUGCUGUGUAAAGCAUUUACCUGUUUUUAAGGCUUACACACUUGGGGACUGGAAACUGAAAAUAUGAUGUUGGGAUUCCAUUUGUCUUCUUUCCAGGUGUAGCUAGUGGAUAAAAAAUGGUGGCUUAAAGAAGAUUUUUUUUAGAAAAAAAAUGUUUAGCUUCUUUUAGGUUAAAAUCACAAAUAAGGAUAAAAAUGUACUUGACUGUUUAUUUUUUGGGGGCUUAGGGGGAUGGCGUUAUCGAGUAAUUCUUUCCUAGAUCUCUUUGUUUGCUAUCUUUCUUUUUAUUUCAAAGGUAAAUAAUCUAGUUAUGUUUUUGUCUCAGAUGUCUCUUCUUUCCAUAUAAAUUGUGGUGGAAGUGAAGUAGUUGUUGAUGGAAAAACAUAUGAAAAAGAUAUAGAUUCAGCUGGGUCUUCAUGGCUUUUCAUAAGCCCAACUAAUUGGGCAUUUAGCAGCACUGGUGACUUUGUGGAAGAUAAUUGCCCUUCAAAGACAUACCAUUGAACUUUAAUGUCCUGUGGUCCUUCCCAUCCUGAUCCUGUUUGAUUUAAUGAAUAUUUAUGUAGGAAUUGGUUGUAUCCUGUCAUUAGUGCGCUUGUCAAAGUGAAUUUUGUAGUUUGUUAUCUUUUUUGUCAACUGUAGUUCCCAUUAACUAUUUUUUAUUUUAUUUAACAUCCUAUUGAUUUGUUGAGAACUUCAAUUUAUGGGACCUGAUGUUGAUGGCAUUCAGAUAAAGGCAUUCAGAUAAAACCCAAGUCAAAGCACAUAUGGAUAGACCAUUGCAGCCUCUGUGAUUAUGAUGAUGGACUGAUAGAUAUCACCCGAGAGAGCACAUAUAUUACAAUUUCUAGGUUUGGGAAAGUACAUUUAUAUAAUAAUUACACCAGAAACUGGGGGCAUUUAUGCUGUAUGUGCCAGUGUAGAAUCACAGAUAUAUUCACAAUGCAAUAUAUAUAAAGCAGGACAGAAGAAGGUGGCUUUCAAAUAUCUAACAGAGAAGGUAAUUUGUUUUAUCUUGGCAUUCUAUCAAUGAUAUCUGAAACUUCAUAUGAAGACAUUAGUGACUUCAAGAAAUUGUUUCUUUAAUGGCACAAGUUUCUUUAUGUUGCUUCAAGAAACAGUUCAAAUGCAUGCUUGGGAUGGUAAAAUUUCAUCCCAUGAUAGGGAACUCCUCACUUUAAGCAGGGAAUUUUUACUU